rnacentral:rRNA from 1 species
UACGUAGGGUGCAAGCGUUGUCCGGAAUUAUUGGGCGUAAAGAGCUCGUAGGCGGUUUGUCGCGUCUGCUGUGAAAACUGGAGGCUCAACCUCCAGCCUGCAGUGGGUACGGGCAGACUAGAGUGUGGUAGGGGAGACUGGAAUUCCUGGUGUAGCGGUGAAAUGCGCAGAUAUCAGGAAGAACACCCGUGGCGAAGGCGGCUCUCUGGGACGGUACUGACGCUGAGACGCGAAAGCGUGGGGAGCGAACAGG